GACGAACGCUGGCGGCGUGCUUAACACAUGCAAGUCGAACGAUGAAGGAGGAGCUUGCUCCUCUGGAUUAGUGGCGAACGGGUGAGUAACACGUGAGCAAUCUGCCCUUGACUCUGGGAUAAGCGCUGGAAACGGCGUCCAAUACCGGAUACGACCCUCGGAGGCAUCUCCUGCGGGUGGAAAUAACUUCGGUCAAGGAUGAGCUCGCGGCCGAUCAGCUUGUUGGUGAGGUAAUGGCUCACCAAGGCGACGACGGGUAGCCGGCCGUGAGAGGGUGACCGGCCACACGGGGACUGAGACACGGCCCAGACUCCUACGGGAGGCAGCAGUGGGGAAUAUUGCACAAUGGGCGCAAGCCUGAUGCAGCAACGCCGCGUGAGGGACGACGGCCUUCGGGUUGUAAACCUCUUUUAGCAGGGAAGAAGCGAGAGUGACGGUACCUGCAGAAAAAGCACCGGCUAACUACGUGCCAGCCGCCGCCGUAAGAC
rnacentral:rRNA from 1 species